CUAGCAUGAGCCUCAAGGCCUCCUAUCAUUCCUUCUGUUCCUAGACCAGUCAUAUAGAUCAAAGGCCUAGGAUGGGGCAAGGGGAGGUGGGCAGUCUUGGUAAAUGUGAAGCAGGAAGAUAGCUCCAAUGGAGAAUGAAGGAAAACACUGCUUGAACAGGCACCAGCGGUGCAUGGAACUUGUAAGAACAGGCAGCCUCCAGUCAAAGACUGGAAGAGUGUCCAGGGGAAGUGUGACCUUGACAGGCAGCCAAGCAGGGGGCAGUCGUCCUCCAUGAAACUAAAGUUUGCAGACCUUUUUGUCAAUUUGUAUUUCAAUAGUCAAGGAUUGAGUCAGCAAUAAAAUCGAUAUAUAUUCAAGAGGGGAGAGGCCAGGGUGAAAGGUCAAGGUCUGUCACUUAUUUGCUAAGCAAUCCUGCCUUUGACUGCAUCUCUUUGAGCUCAGUUUUCCUACUGUAAAAUAAUGAACACUCUCGGGAUUAUCACAUGGCUCAAAACGGUGAGUGGGAGCUGUGAUCCAUAACAACCCACACAUAUAGGUUGCUAUUACUAUUAUUGCAUCAUGACUUCAUGGCAGCAUUUGCAGCCAAGUUCUUGGUUCCUUGCUCUAAAUUUAGAAUAGGCUUGGGAAGAAGACUGGGUAAAUACUAAAACAUUUACUGAGUGCUGCUCUUUGUUGGUAACUGAGCUAGGCAGGGUGACAGUGAGCUGAAACAGCCAGGAUUCAUAAUUUUGGAGUUCCCAGACUGAGAGACAGACACAGUAUCAUGUUACAUUGUGCCAUAUGGUAUAGUGGUACAGCAGGGAGCCCUGUGUGAGCCUGGAGAAGGGACAACCGAGUCUGAAUGAGCCGCAUUUAUAGAAGAAACAGCGGUUGAGCUGACCCUUCCUUCAUCACCCAGAGAAAAGGAGACCGCACGAGAAUCCAGGGCUACAGACCCACAGUUGAGAGUCGGCCUCCACAUCAUUCUUGGGCCUAAUAGGAGGAAGGAGCCUCUUGAUCUCAUGUGCGAGCAAACUUCAUGAGUUCACUAAAGGCCUGGCUGUCAUGGAAACACUGCAUUCAUAUUCCUGCUUAAUCACUUUGCAAUUUACUGUCAACAACAUGCUGUCGCAGGGUGAAGCACAGCCCCCAUUUCCCAGCUAGGAGGUGUCAUGCUUCCCAACUGUACCAUAUGAUGAUGUCUGCUGCUGGCUGACUGCCACACUUCAUUUGGAAAAGGAGAGGCUGGUGGACACUGAGAUCCCUGGAGCCAGACUAGCCCUGUCAGGCAGCUCCGAGGACACCUGAGAGAACCUGCUACCAUGAAAAAAGUGGAGAGCAAACAGACAUGAUUCCUGGUGGCAAGUUCAGGUGUUCAUAUGCAUGUGUGGUGCACAUAUUCAUGUGAACUCAUACAUAUUUGUACCCUGCACACGUAUGUUGACACAUAUGUAAACAUGCAUGCACACAUGCUCGCUACACACACACACACACACACACACACAAGAAAAUCUUAACUAUUCUGUAAACUGAAAGGAAUACAAAUAUUCUAAAGAUA